rnacentral:rRNA from 1 species
UACGUAGGGCGCAAGCGUUAUCCGGAAUUAUUGGGCGUAAAGAGCUCGUAGGCGGUCUGUCGCGUCUGCUGUGAAAACCUAGGGCUUAACUCUGGGCGUGCAGUGGGUACGGGCAGGCUAGAGUGCGGUAGGGGAGACUGGAAUUCCUGGUGUAGCGGUGAAAUGCGCAGAUAUCAGGAGGAACACCGGUGGCGAAGGCGGGUUGCUGGGCUGAUACUGACGCUGAUGCGCGAAAGCCAGGGGAGCGAACGGG